UGCCAUUUAAAUUAUUAAAAAAAAAAAGUUAUCUUUGUCUUUGUGAAAUUGUGAGGAAACUAGCCAUGUGUAGUUUUAGUGAAUGAAAAUAAAGCCAAGAGGGUAAAGGUUCUGGAAUUUUGAUUCAUUGCAGAGUCAUUAUGAAUUCAAUGGAGUAUCUACCUGCAACAAAAUUACGAAAUACAUAAAUAAGUCAGAAUAUAUAUCAAUUAGCAAAGACAAUUUUAUGAUCAAGAUAAACAGAUAUCCAAUUUCUAAAUAGUAUAAGCGGAUAGGAAAACUUUGCUUAUUCGACGAAUUAUAUGAAACAAUCUUUGGUGAUGCCUUGUUAGUUAUUGGUUUCUCCUCUUUACUCAAACUAGUUUCAAGUAUCAGGUCCAAAAAAGUUAUUUAUAUCUAUUGCUUAAAAUUCUGUCUUUCCUACUAAACUUAUUUUAUUUUGUUCAUGAACAUUAGUUCCCACACAAUGUCCAUUGAUUUUGUUGAACUGAACUCAUUUGAUGCAGCUGCUGCGCCUGUGACGAAGAAUGGGAACAGCAAUAGGACACUGACGUCACAGAAGAAAAAUACUGCUUCAGAUAGAUCCUUCAAACUCUAAACAUAAGGCAACUUUCCGGUGAGAAGCUCAAGUUACACUAUUCCAUGAUUAGAGAUGUCAAUCUUUAUAUCGACCUUAAAUGGCAUAUACGUUCUGCCGAAUAGAAAAUGACAUCUCUUCACAAAUAUCACUCAAGGCAGUCUGUCUUCCAUAGUAAUCAUCUGUUAAAAAGUUAUGCUUACUAAGCUUUUAACUAGCCUAUAUGAUUAGUAUUUUGAAAACCAUAAAAGGCAUUAUCCUAUUAAAAAAAACAGUCCUAAUAUGUGUGAAGAAUUAUCUACUGACAUAAGUCACAAGUUUUGUGAGACUCUUUGGGAGAAUUUAUGAAAACUGCUUAUGACAUUUUAAAUAAGUUUUUUCAGCUUAUUGUCAUAAGUUCUCCAAAUAACUUGUAAAAACAACUUAGCAUAUAUGAAAACAACUUAACUUUAUUUUAUUGUUUUCUAUAGAAAUAGCUUAUGUAAGUUUAUACCAGUACGCUUGUGCUAUAAGUUGUUUAUCCAAUCAGGGCCUUAUUCCCAUUUCUAUGCUUUAGCAUCACUUUUUGGAACCGAAUGUAGUUUGAACAACAUUUACACUCCAUUUAUCCACACUCUUAACCUUAGCUGACCUAUUCCUUCAUGAAUAAAAACUUCAAGAGGAUAAACAGAAAAUGCAAUCCUUACUCUUGCAUUUCAGGUUGAUGCUAUCAAGGGGGGAAAGCAUGUGAACUGCAACCAAAAAAUCUAGAAGCCUUUUAUCACUGACUAGUGUAAAAUUAAGGGCAUAUUUCAAUUGAAGUUGAACUUAGGGUAACACUUUUUCCAACUUUUGCAAACUGACGAGUAAAAAAGGAGUUGCUUCUGCAAACAGAGUUUGCUAAGUAUUGUAAAAAAUGCUGCUAGUUUUCUAAACAUACACUAAAGCAUAUAUGAAAAAAAAAGGAAGUUUCACAAAGAACCCAAAAAAUUGCUUCUGUAUAUUCCCUGACACCACCAAUUUCCUUGACUGAUACAUAAUCAACAGUGUUAUCAAUUGCGGAUAAUGCAAAAUAGUGGUUUGUUCAAAUUCCACUAUGCAGCAGUGCUAUAUAGCUGCUAUUUGAUAAUACUUUGUAAUAAUUAGUGUAUCGCAGAAUAGUAGCGGUUUGUUCAAAACCCACUACGCGAUAGCACCGGUGGCCAUUACAGCUUCUAUUUAACAACAGCCAAUUAGAUGAUCAUUCAACAAUGUAAUCAACCAAAGCCAUCAUAAGAAAAAAAGAUCACACAAACUAUUAAAUAACAUAUACGUGACUAAAUACAGUUCCAGACAAGUAAAAUGAAGUAGGAACUUACUUUCAGAAAGAAGAAACCGAAGUUUGAACAAAAUACUUGGAAAAGAGCCAACAUAUUUUAUUAGUAAGUAUAGUUCUCGCUACUCUAUUUACUUUCCAAUCAUAGAGACUUGCUUGGUCUUCUAGAUUGUUUGCCAAUAUCAAUGUAUCUCCAUUUUCAGAAAAGUGCACUGACAACCCUUGAGUCUAAGACUUCUCAACUCCACAUCAUCUGCUACACGACAAAAUUGGUUAUCGCCAAAUCAUGAGAAAAACAGAGACAGUUCAUGAAAAGGGCAACAUUUGGCUCGACAAGUAGCACUUCACCAAAGUAUCAAAGGGCAGGCAACUUCCUGUGUUCCUGUUAGGAACCCGAGAAUUCUAAUAUACAAGAUUAGAGGAAUGCGUAAAACAAACUCAAAUAUAUAAAGAUAAAGAUUGCAAAGAGCUGAAGAACUUCUUAUUCAUGUAGUGAGAUUCAAAGAGAAGAUACAACAAGUUUACAAUGAAGAAGAUAACCUUGCACACAAAGCAACCCCAAAAGAGCACUCACACUUCUUUCACACUAAAUAAUUCUCUAAUCACAAUUUCAUUAUUCAAAGAUAUCUUUCCCCUAACCAAUGGAAAGCUAUCUAAAGAUUUUCUAAGAAUAACCAAAGUAACAUCUCCUAACAAACUUAUCAACUUACUAACUUUUAACUAAUAUAAUUAUCCAAUAUUAUUUAUCCUAAUACUUUCUCCAUUGCCAAACCAACAAAAAUAUCACAAAUUGCUCAACAAUAAUAAUAUUCCAAUUUCUAAUAAUACCUGAAAUUAUUGUAAAUGGCCAACCAGUUAAGAGCAUCCAUCCAAUACACACCACCAGCCACCCGGGGACAAAUAUAGUGCAACUGAAGAGACCAAGAGAAAACUAAUAAAAUUUAUCAAAGCAUUGCCACCCAAACCGAAAGCUCUCACUCCGGUUCUCACUUGACCUUUAAUGUGAACAUUGAAGUUUAGCGCCAUGGACCACCAUGUUCCAAGUGUCUGAUGAAUUAUUAUAAUCAAACAAAAACUUGAAAGAGCUAGAUAGAUGCCUGCCAAAAUGACAAGAAAGUAACAACAAAAAUUAGUUACCAAAAGUGAAGUUUUUAGAUUUUUAUAAUUAAUUUUAUGAUGACAAAGUUAAUUGAUAAAAAGUAAAAAAACUUCAAACUUUUUAAAAUAUAAGCCAGUAAUUUUCAUUUAGAUUUGUUUGGAUGGCAUGAGAAAUCAAAUUUACAAGCUCCAAAAUUCAAUGGUAAACAAGAUGGAGUUUGGCUAACUUUUUAGCAUCCUAUAAUCAACUUUGGAAUAUAUGAUACCUAGCUUCAUUCUUCUUUUUUUCAACACAACUGAAGGUUCGUACGAAAAGAGAAUGAAGAUGGAAGAGAAUGAAUUUAUUAUUUGACAUCUCUAUUGUGAUUAUCAAUUCUGGAUAGCGACGCAUCGCAACUUAGUCUUAUAAAAGCUAUUGCGAGAUGGCCGCUAUUCGGAAUUUCUUAAACAUAAUAAAUAAUUAUUACUGUAAAAAUAAAUGCUGAAAGAUUAAAACAAUACUCAAUUCAUGAAAUAUUCAUAAAUUAGAAAUAAUUAAAUUCAUAGGUCUUAUGCAAAACAUAAAUGUAAAUAACAAAAGAAAGUACAAAAAAACAAACAAGGUUAAGCAUCAGAGGUUUAAAGUAACUACCAAAGGUUUAUUAUGUAGGAGAUCCAGGGUUCGAUACCUAUUACUAACAAAUUUUUCCUUCCCUUGACAAAUUACCACUAACAUUCCAAAUUCAAAAAAUGGCUAUUAAAAUAAGGUUUUUCUUUUGGAAGCAUUUAGCAGGCCGCAAACACCUGCAAUAUUGGUCGAACAAUGGACGCUACUGCCGCCAGUGGCAGAGCUUUGUUGGGGGAAGGGAUGUACUAUACUAUUCGUGUUAUAUGAUAUAAUACACACUUUGGCGUAGUGGUCGAGGACACUUUUGACCUAUGAUGACACGGGAUCGAAUCUCGGUGAUCUUGGUUUUGCAUCUUUUUUAUUUUCCUUUUCCAAGAAUAAAUAAAUACUCCAUCAAAAUGGAAAUAUUUAGGUUUGAACUCCAAUACUUGAAGGGAAAACAAAGGGUCAUAACCACUAUGCAUAUUUCGACCCCCUCAUAUAACGAGGCCAUGCUCCCCACCGACAGCCGCUAUAGCAAACCACUCCGUUACCAACUCGCAACUGUGGCCACUCGCCACUGCUAUAGCACGCUGUUGGAUACAUAGAUCUCUAAAACUCAAAUUAUCCAAUGCUUAUUGGAAAAGGGAACUACAAAAUUUUAGAGUUUAGAAGAUAUUUUAAGAAGCUUGGAUUUGAUUCAAGUUAAAAGUGAGUUUCCAUAAGAGUAGUGUAAGAAUAAAACUUAAUGCAAUUAUAAAAUGUUGGGGCUGAUUUUCUGUUUGGAAUUGCAAAGUUGAUUGCUUACCACUUAAGUAAUUGAAAUCAACUGCAUAUAUAGGAUAAAAACUAAUAGGGUUUAAAGGCGGAAUAUCCUUUCAUCAAUAAAAUGAUGAAUUCUGUUGCACCUUCAUGUAACUACCUUAGUUAGCUAGAGUUCUAUAAAUAGAGAGAGCAAAUUUGGUAUAAUACAUUCAAGAAAAUUUUAUAAAAGAAUUUGUAACUAAUCGACCAUAGGUAUAAUGCGUAGGAGCAAAUUAUAUAAAAAGAAUAUACAUAAAAUAUCAUAUGAUCAAUCACAUAAGCAUGUAUAAAUGCUGGAACAAACAAAUCUAAAUUAGACCCGAGAAAGGAAAGUCUUUUUAUAUAGAGCUUGGGGAAAUUUGGAAUAAUGCAAUACAGAAGCUUGGUAGAAGACCAAGGAUGCUUCACCAUUCAUGUAAAAUCAAAUAGGGGCUUGUUGCUUCUCACCAUUAGAAUCUGAAUAAUUGAAAGAAUAAGUAUGGUUUUAGACAUGUAAGCAUGUUGCCUACACGGCUUAAUUUAGUAAGAAUGACUACCCAAAACUAGGGGUCGCAAACGGGCAUGUCUGCCCCGUUUAGGCCCGCCCCGCAAAAGCCCGCAAAAAAAUGGGGCGGGCGGGGCGGUCAUAGUUGAGGAUGUGGGCCUAAAAAUGAAUCCAGCUUUCUAUGUUUUUGCCCAAAUCAUAUCCUAGCAUGUAUAAAUAGAACCCUAUAUAAGCUGCACUAAAUGUGUUAAAAGGAGAAAACAUCAACAACCAAGUCUUAUAACACUAAGUGGGAUCGGCUAUACGGAUGAAACGGUGCCAUAAUGUUCUACAAUAUAUCAUAUCUCUAACCAACUAAUUAACCUCUAGAUAUUUCUUAAUAGUUUCGCUCAUAGUUUUUCUAGAUCUUCCUCUACUCAGGUGAUUUGACUACUCUCCAUUUGAUCCACCCUCUUUACUACAAAAUCUACGUCUCAACAAGCCCAAACAACCUAAGCCAAUUUCUUAAUAGUUUCGCUCAUAGUUUUUCUAGAUCUUCCUCUACUCAGGUGAUUUGACUACUCUCCAUUUGAUCCACCCUCUUUACUACAAAAUCUACGUCUCAACAAGCCCAAACAACCUAAGCCAGGUUUCCACCAACUUCUCUAUGAUAGAUGCUACCCCAAUUUUCUCUCUAAUAUCAUUUAUAACAUAGUCUUGUCUAGUAUUACCAAUGUCAUACUUCCGACACAUUAUCCACAUCUCCGCUACACUUAUUUUAUUUUUCUGUUGGUUCUUUACCGCCGAACACUCUGACUCAUACAACAUUUCCGCUUUUACAAAUAUAAGAUAAAAUUUUCCCUUCAACUUGAGCGAUACUUUUGGUAUCACAUAAAACACUUGAGACCCUACUCUAUCUCAACCACCCCACUUGAAUACGAUGGUUUACAACUUCUACUUUUUCUCUAUUUGAUACUGUGGACCCAAGGUAUUUAAACUGCGUAACUUGUAGUAUGACAUAUAAUUGUAGUAUGACAUGAUAUGAUCUCCAACUUUCAUCUCUAAGCUAGGGAUGCUUUAUUCUACUUUUUCUCUAUUUGAUACUGUGGACCCAAGGUAUUUAAACUGCGUAACUUGUAGUAUGACAUAUAAUUGUAGUAUGACAUGAUAUGAUCUCCAACUUUCAUCUCUAAGCUAGGGAUGCUUUGCCUUGUAAAAAAAUUGCAUUCCAUAUAAUCUAAUAAAGAAUCGAUAAGUCCUUUUGAAUUGGAAAAAGAAAUUGAAGAAGAAAUCAUUAAACUUCGUUUGAAGUACAAAUCAUGAUUUGUUCAUCACAAUUAUUGUUUAGUAGAGUGAAAGGAAAAUGAAGCAAUAUCUGAAAUAAUGAGCACCAUGGGAAGAAGUGUGAAUCUCUCAAUUGCUUGCUCUCAUCACUCGGGACUUUGACACCUCCUGCUGCAUCUACGUUAAACAGAAGCAAGAUAGUUUUUCUUUUCCUUGUACCGAUAGGUGUACUCAUUGUUUUAAGUUGGGCUGAAUAUAUGUACCGAUUGAGUUUUUCUGGCUACCUUGUUAGUCGCAAAACCUUUUGUUUAAUGAGUGAGUUGCUGGCAAUGAAUUUGUUGCCACUAUAUAGUUUCCCCUAAAAGGAAAUUUUGUUAAAAUGAUAUUUUGGGAUCACAGGGAAGAUGACACUUGCACUUUAAAUGGGUAAACAUGAGACACAUUAUUAAAGGAGUCACUCAUGUAAUAUUGUGGGAUUUAUUAAGUAAGCUCACAUGAGCUUACCGUAGGAUUAAUGUACACUAGUAUAGCCUUGUAACAAAAUGUUAGUUACAAUUAGAACAUAUCUAACAGAUUGUAACUAACUGACUGACAAGUGUCAGUCAGCCCUAGGUCUUACCUGCUACAGCAGGUCAUCAACAAGAUCUAUAAAUAGAUCUAAUCCAGUGUAACUAACAAUCAAUAAAAUCACAAAAUCACAAUUCAGUUUUCUCCAUUAAUUCCAAGAGAAUCAUGGCCAAUAUUCAUAACUCUAACACACAUUGUGACAAAUAAACCAAAUAAUGAGAAACAAAGAAAAGCAACAUCCGACCAUAGAUCACUAGAUCUUGAGCAACUGCAACAUUAUUCCUAAUAUACUCAAAUGAUCUUGAAAACAGUGCACUUAAAUUAUAAAAAAGAUUUGGAGACAUUCACCUGCUUCUAAACAAACAGGCAGGAGAAGAGUUGUAAAACAGAACAACUAUUAAGCAGUGAGUUGCUUCAAAUGUUUUCGAAGAAACCUAAACGAAAGACAUCAAGAGGGCCAUAAAUGUCUGGUACAAAACGAGUACUGUAACUGUAGCUCCAAAUAAGCUUCUUACUUCUUUUUCUCCCACCAUCCCAGAAUGUACCAUUAAUUAGGGUUGAAGUGCCUGAAG
rnacentral:lncRNA from 1 species